AUUGAACGCUGGCGGCAUGCCUUACACAUGCAAGUCGAACGGCAGCACGGGAGCAAUCCUGGUGGCGAGUGGCGAACGGGUGAGUAAUAUAUCGGAACGUGCCCAGUCGUGGGGGAUAACGCAGCGAAAGCUGUGCUAAUACCGCAUACGAUCUACGGAUGAAAGCGGGGGAUCGCAAGACCUCGCGCGACUGGAGCGGCCGAUAUCAGAUUAGCUAGUUGGUGAGGUAAAGGCUCACCAAGGCGACGAUCUGUAGCUGGUCUGAGAGGACGACCAGCCACACUGGAACUGAGACACGGUCCAGACUCCUACGGGAGGCAGCAGUGGGGAAUUUUGGACAAUGGACGAAAGUCUGACGCAGCGACGCCGCGUGGGUGACGAAGGCCUUCGGGUUGUAAAGCCCUGUGGGGUGAGACGAACAGCUGGGAUUCGAAUAGGGUCUUGGUCUGACGGUAUCACCUUAGCAAGCACCGGCUAACUCUGUGCCAGCCGCCGCAGUAAUAC
rnacentral:rRNA from 1 species